GGAUAGCUCAGUUGGUUAGAGCAUGGUGCUUAUAAUGCCACGGUUGUGAGUUUGAUCCCCGUAUGGGACG